rnacentral:siRNA from 1 species
UGUCUUGUUGAUCUCAAUAGC